GCGCUAGUGGCGGAAUUGGUAGACGCACUGGUUUUAGGUACCAGCGGGAAACCGUGGGGGUUCGAGUCCCUCCUGGCGCACCA
rnacentral:tRNA from 1 species